GUGGGGAAUAUUGGGCAAUGGGCGAAAGCCUGAUCCAGCCAUGCCGCGUGUGUGAAGAAGGUCUUCGGAUUGUAAAGCACUUUAAGUUGGGAGGAAGGGCAGUAAGUUAAUACCUUGCUGUUUUGACGUUACCAACAGAAUAAGCACCGGCUAACUUCGUGCCAGCAGCCGCGGUAAUACGAAGGGUGCAAGCGUUAAUCGGAAUUACUGGGCGUAAAGCGCGCGUAGGUGGUUCAGCAAGUUGGAGGUGAAAUCCCCGGGCUCAACCUGGGAACUGCCUCCAAAACUACUGAGCUAGAGUACGGUAGAGGGUAGUGGAAUUUCCUGUGUAGCGGUGAAAUGCGUAGAUAUAGGAAGGAACACCAGUGGCGAAGGCGACUACCUGGACUGAUACUGACACUGAGGUGCGAAAGCGUGGGGAGCAAACAGGAUUAGAAACCCGUGUAGUCC
rnacentral:rRNA from 1 species